rnacentral:rRNA from 1 species
AUGGACGCCGACUUGGACGACGAGCUCGACGACGCCGAGGAGGAGGGCGAGGAAGAACAGGCGGAGGAGGAGGCGGAGCCGGCGGCGAUCGCGAAAGGGAGAAAGAAGGAGCGAGCGGCCAAUGCCAGGCCAGGCGAGCCUCGCGUCAAGUGGACGUCGAAGGAAGACGAGUGCCUCGCCGAAGCAUGGAAGACCGUCAGCAUCGACCCGGUCACCGGCGCGAACCAGAAUGCCGACACGUACUGGAGAAGGAUCAAGAUGGCGUUCGACGAGCACAAGUUGGUCGACCCCUACUUUGCGAACAUCCACAUGGAGUGCGGCGACAAGGCCAUGGCGAACCAUUGGGCGAUCAUCCAGGCGGCCUGCAACAAAUGGCAUGGGAUUGAAGAGGAGGUCGCGGCUCGCACGGAAAGCGGCGCCAACAUCAUGGGCCAGGUAUGCCCAGCCGCCGGCUCAGUUCUUUUUCGCCAUUGUGAUCGCCGACACUUGUUCUUCGACUGUGCAGAUGGUUCAGAUGUGCAACAUGUACCGCCAGGACAACAGUGA